rnacentral:lncRNA from 1 species
CCUGCGUUUCCUGUGUUCUUUGUGUGCUUCGCUGUGACAUCUUUGGAAUAUUUCUGCGUGUUGCUCGCUUUUUAUGGACUUGUUGCCUCGAAGAUCGCCAUGAUCGCCUCCGACUCGGCGACAUCAAGGAUUCAAAAUGAGCUGGGAGAGGCCCCAGCUGGAACGGUUCACAUAGGUUGAAGGAGUGCACAUUGAGAAGGUUAUCCUGGCACAGUUUACCAUGGCCUGCCAUGGUGGACCAGGAAAGUUUGCAAGGGCCUUGCUUCACCAUGUGUUCACAGAGGAGGAGCUCAUGGGCCAUUUGCGCUUUGGAAAUAACACCAAGGGG